AGGAAAUUCACAAGCAAUACAGGUACCCUCCAACAAAGCUAACAACUUUUUGGUCACAAGCAAUGAGGAAUCCAAAGGAUCCAGGAGUGGGAAAGAAGGCAUUAGACAGUGACAAAUGUGUCUCCUGAAGAAGGAGGACUCUGCAUUCAUGAACAAGAAAGACACAUGCCCCAGGACAGGGAAGAACUCAUCGCACAAGGACUCACAGGUGGCCAAUGGGUCUGGAAUGAAAGGAGCAGAAGGCAGUGAUGUGUGCAGAAGCUGAAUCAGUAGGAGGAAACAGGUACUGGCCGUAUAACUGCACCAAGGUAAUCAUCAUCUCUUUGCUCAUAUGACCAUUGUGAUUAUGACACAAGAUAAAGUGAAGGCAGUACACAAAAUUAUUAAGAACAUGAACAGAAAUGAGAAGAAAUACUCAGUUUCAGUUGGACAAAGCUAGAAGAAUGUUGCUGUCACCAUUACAAUAUAAACAAUUUCAGGAAAAACUUCAGUUACUUUUCUUGCACUCGUUAGGGAAUUCAGGUCACAGGACAAAAAUCUGAGAAUCUAGAGAGUCACCACAGAGAGAAACAAGGCCCACCAAGACACCCAACAGGACUCAAUAAUGCCAGUAGGAAGAUUCAGCGAGAAAAUUUUAAUGAAUUUCUAAAAUGUGAA